UAGAGUUUGAUCCUGGCUCAGAUUGAACGCUGGCGGAAUGCUUUACACAUGCAAGUCGAGCGGCAGCGCGGUCUUCGGACUGGCGGCGAGCGGCGAACGGGUGAGUAAUACAUCGGAACAUGCCCAGUCGUGGGGGAUAACACUUCGAAAGAAGUGCUAAUACCGCAUACGUCCUGAGGGAGAAAGCGGGGGAUCGCAAGACCUCGCGCGAUUGGAGUGGCCGAUGUCAGAUUAGCUAGUUGGUGGGGUAAAGGCCUACCAAGGCAACGAUCUGUAGCUGGUCUGAGAGGAUGAUCAGCCACACUGGGACUGAGACACGGCCCAGACUCCUACGGGAGGCAGCAGUGGGGAAUUUUGGACAAUGGGGGCAACCCUGAUCCAGCCAUUCCGCGUGAGUGAAGAAGGCCUUCGGGUUGUAAAGCUCUUUCGGCAGGAACGAAACGGUGAGCUCUAACAUAGCUCGCUAAUGACGGUACCUGAAGAAGAAGCACCGGCUAACUACGUGCCAGCAGCCGCGGUAAU
rnacentral:rRNA from 1 species